AACGAACGCUGGCGGCGUACUUAACACAUGCAAGUCGGACGAGAAAGGAGACUUCGGUCUCUGAGUAAAGUGGCGUACGGGUGCGUAACACGUAAGUAAUCUACCCCGAACUCUGGGAUAACCCUCCGAAAGGAGGGCUAAUACCAGAUAGGGUCCCCGAGGUGUAGGCUGCGGGGGGAAAACGGGCCUCUGCUUCAUGCUCGUGGUUCGGGAUGAGCUUGCGGCCCAUUAGCUUGUUGGUAGGGUAAUGGCUUACCAAGGCGACGAUGGGUAGCUGGUCUGAGAGGAUGAUCAGCCACACUGGCACUGAGACACGGGCCAGACUCCUACGGGAGGCAGCAGUGGGGAAUUUUGCGCAAUGGGCGAAAGCCUGACGCAGUAACGCCGUGUGGAGGAUGAAGGCCUUCGGGUUGUAAACUCCUGUCAGGGGGAACGACGGAGAAAGGGUGAUAAACUCUUUCCUUCAGACGGUACCUCCAAAGGAAGCCCCGGCUAAUUCCGUGC
rnacentral:rRNA from 1 species